rnacentral:rRNA from 1 species
AGAGUUUGAUCAUGGCUCAGAACGUACGCUGGCGGCACGCCUAAUACAUGCAAGUCGAACGGAGUAGCAAUACUUAGUGGCAGACGGGUGAGUAACAUGUGGGUAUCUUCCCUUUGGUGAGGAAUAACACGAGGAAACUUGUGCUAAUACCUCAUAAGUCUUUACGGAGAAAGCUUUAUGCGCCAAUGGAUGAGCCCGCACUUGAUUAGUUUGUUGGUAGGGUAAUGGCCUACCAAGACUGUGAUCAAUAGCUGAUUUGAGAGGAUGAUCAGCCACAUUGGGACUGAGACACGGCCCAAACUCCUACGGGAGGCAGCAGUAGGGAAUCUUGCACAAUGGAGGAAACUCUGAUGCAGCGAUGCCGCGUGAGUGAAGAAGGCCCUUGGGUUGUAAAGCUCUUUCGUCGGGGAAGAAAAUGACUGUACCCGAAUAAGAAGGUCCGGCUAACUUCGUGCCAGCAGCCGCGGUAAUACGAAGGGACCUAGCGUAGUUCGGAAUUACUGGGCUUAAAGAGUUCGUAGGUGGUUAAAAAAGUUGGUGGUGAAAGCCCAGAGCUUAACUCUGGAACAGCCAUCAAAACUUUUUAGCUAGAGUUUGAUAGAGGAAAGCAGAAUUUCUAGUGUAGAGGUGAAAUUCGUAGAUAUUAGAAAGAAUACCGAUUGCGAAGGCAGCUUUCUGGAUCAUUACUGACACUGAGGAACGAAAGCAUGGGUAGCGAA